rnacentral:rRNA from 1 species
UACGAAGGGGGCUAGCGUUGCUCGGAAUCACUGGGCGUAAAGCGCACGUAGGCGGCUUUUUACGUCAGAGGUGAAAUCCUGGAGCUCAACUCCAGAACUGCCUUUGAUACUGGAGAGCUUGAGUCCGGGAGAGGUGAGUGGAACUGCGAGUGUAGAGGUGAAAUUCGUAGAUAUUCGCAAGAACACCAGUGGCGAAGGCGGCUCACUGGCCCGGUACUGACGCUGAGGUGCGAAAGCGUGGGGAGCAAACAGG